UACGAAGGGGGCUAGCGUUGCUCGGAAUCACUGGGCGUAAAGCGCACGUAGGCGGCUUGUUAAGUCAGGGGUGAAAUCCUGGAGCUCAACUCCAGAACUGCCUUUGAUACUGGCGAGCUUGAGUCCGGGAGAGGUGAGUGGAACUGCGAGUGUAGAGGUGAAAUUCGUAGAUAUUCGCAAGAACACCAGUGGCGAAGGCGGCGACCUGGGACAAUACUGACGCUGAGGUGCGAAAGCGUGGGGAGCAAACAGG
rnacentral:rRNA from 1 species